rnacentral:rRNA from 1 species
GAAAUGCGAUAAGUAAUGUGAAUUGCAGAAUUCAGUGAAUCAUCGAAUCUUUGAACGCACCUUGCGCUCCUUGGUAUUCCGAGGAGCAUGCCUGUUUGAGUGUCAUUAAUAUAUAUAUCAAACUUCUCUUGUUGAGUGGUUUGGAUGUGGGGGUUUGCUGGCCUUGUAAAGGGUUCAGCUCCCCUGAAAUGCAUUAGCAGAACAACCCUGUUCAUUGGUGUGAUAACUAUCUACGCUAUUGAAUGUAAGGGGCAGUUCAGCUUUCUAACAGUCCUCGGACAAUUCAUCAUUAAUGUGACCUCAAAUCAGGUAGGACUACCCGCUGAACUUAAGCAUAUCAAUAAGCGGAGGAAAAGAAACU